CAUUCAUCUGGGCACGAAUUCUACAAGAUAGCAAGUAGCUGGGCUGCCACAAUUGAAUGGACACCAACAAUCUGUGCAUUCCUUGCUAUGCUGCACUGGACUGAACCAAGACAAACCAUGAAUACUUUGUGAAGAAUGACGCAUGGACAAAGUUCUUGGUCAACCAAUGAAAUGGUCAUUCAUGAAAAGCUGAUGCUACGACCAACAAGCCUUGUGCUGAUCAUCAUGCCACAUUCAUCCAACUGGCAUCCUCACUUUCUGCCCCAACCACCUCAACUCUCAUUCUUUAUGUCACUUGUGAUGAAGGACGUGGAGAGACCCUAAGCAAUACGGUGGCAAGGUAUUGACAGAGAAGAAGGCUUUGUGACAGCUGAAUCUGACAAGAAUGUUGACAUGAUGUGUAGCAAACCCAUGUGGGGGUGGAGAAAGGGCAGCACCAUUAGAACUUUCAAAUUAUGCACUUAAAACUACAAUAGAAAUUGCAGAAAUUUGGAGAGGCUCCCUCAAACUGGAUCCAUCAGCUGUGACUAAAGCCGAUCUUGAUGGGGUAGUUGAUUUAAUGACAAAUUGAAAGCUCGGCCCAAAGCAUUAACUUCAGCUUUACCACUAAAAUUCAAUACACUACAGUAUUUACAAACCUGCUGCAGCUGCAGUGAUUCAUCGGUCUAUUUCAGGAUCACUUCCAUCAUUUUUUAUUGUGAACAGGACCAUGAAUUUCAUGAUCAAUUUCACUCUGAGCAGUUGCUUCUUCUUAGCAAGUCAAACUUUCUUUUUUUGUAUUUUUUUGGAGAGCAUCAGGACCUAAGAUUGAGAGGUGCUAAUUCUGAUCCUCAUAGUCAGCUGUGAACUACUCCAGUGUGUGCCAAACAUUCGGGUCUGAUGAGGCCAAGCGGCUGUGCACGAAAAAGCCUGAACAGGAGAGGACACAAAAUGAACCUUUGGCAGAGACCACCAAAGAGUCAACGUAACAUCAAGCAUGCAUGCAGAGGUCUUGUUUUGCAAGAACAUUCACCAAACAGCAUGAAGAGUAGUCUCAGGUCAUAUACUGUCAUAGCAGGGCACAUGUGGUUAAAAUUCUUCUCCACGUCUACGACUCCCAUGACCACUUAAAUAUUUGUACACAUAAAAAGGGUUGGUCAGUUUAAUGGCCAGAAAGGAAUUUGUGUUAUUCUUACUGGAUCUGUAAUUUAUCAUCUGGAGUAUACUCUGGAGAGGCUUUCAAAUGCAGUCCUGCCCCCUUUUUAAAAACCGAUAUCACUACUGGAGUCUGGCAGUUUGGAAGCAAGAUGUCCAUAUCUUGCAAGCAACAGCUUAAAAAGACCGCCUCAUAGUAUCCAGUGUUUUCAGCAUUUCUGCCAUGAUCUUGUCUAUUCCUGAGGCAUUGCUACUACACAUCUAUUAAAAACACCACAGUAAAGGAUUCAGCUUCAGCGAGCUAGGAUAAGCUCCAGCUUCCGAGUGACUCUGCUCUGGAUAAGUGGAUUUAGAAAAUGGAUGGAUUUCUACUGACUUAUUCCCUUGCCGUAAAGUUCCUGAUGUUGAACCUUUAAGAAACUCUGCGAUGCACAAACUACUCCACUACACCAAAGCUCACAAAUCCUGGAAUAAUGUUCUUUCAAAUGCAUAUAUUUAAAAGAAAAUCUAAAGCUAAAACAAAAUAAAAAUAAGACAUCUUCUUAUUUCCUGUGCUGCAGGGACAAACUCAGGAAACCCAGUGGCCUGCACUUUGACAGAGCCGAUAUACGAACAAUGGAUGAAUGCAGACCUUUUCUGAAUUUUCUUUGAACUUUUCCUAAAACGUCCCUUCUAUUUCAGACAGGCUCCCUCCUCCAAGCAGACACUCUGUACUCAUCAGCACAUUUAAGAAUUAAUCCCCAGCUUCUGCUUUUAUUUUAUUAGUUCAAUAUGUCUGUAAUCAAACUCUGUGGGCUAAAAAUGACCGAAGC